rnacentral:rRNA from 1 species
UACGGAAGGGGCUAGCGUUGUUCGGAAUUACUGGGCGUAAAGCGCGCGUAGGCGGCUUUGUAAGUUAGAGGUGAAAGCCCGGGGCUCAACCCCGGAACUGCCUUUAAAACUGCAUCGCUUGAAUCCAGGAGAGGUGAGUGGAAUUCCGAGUGUAGAGGUGAAAUUCGUAGAUAUUCGGAAGAACACCAGUGGCGAAGGCGGCUCACUGGCCCGGUACUGACGCUGAGGCGCGAAAGCGUGGGGAGCAAACAGG